rnacentral:rRNA from 1 species
ACCUACGGGGCGCAGCAGUGGGGAAUAUUGGGCAAUGGGCGCAAGCCUGACCCAGCAACGCCGCGUGAAGGAAGAAGGCUUUCGGGUUGUAAACUUCUUUUCUCAGGGACGAAGAAAGUGGCGGUACUUGAGGAAUAAGCCACGGCUAACUACGUGCCAGCAGCCGCGGCAAUACGUAGGUGGCAAGCGUUAUCCGGAUUUAUUGGGUGUAAAGGGCGUGUAGGCGGGGA